ACGCUCGACACCUACGGGGGCAGCAGUGGGGAAUAUUGCACAAUGGGGGAAACCCUGAUGCAGCGACGCCGCGUGAGCGAAGAAGUAUUUCGGCAUGUAAAGCUCUAUCAGCAGGGAAGAAAAUGACGGUACCUGACUAAGAAGCCCCGGCUAACUACGUGCCAGUAGCCGCGGUAAUCUGAGCGGGCUGGCAAGGC
rnacentral:rRNA from 1 species